rnacentral:rRNA from 1 species
GAUGAACGCUGGCGGCGUGCCUAAUACAUGCAAGUCGAGCGAACGGACGAGAAGCUUGCUUUUCUGAUGUUAGCGGCGGACGGGUGAGUAACACGUGGAUAACCUACCUAUAAGACUGGGAUAACUUCGGGAAACCGGAGCUAAUACCGGAUAAUAUUUUGAACCGCAUGGUUCAAAAGUGAAAGACGGUCUUGCUGUCACUUAUAGAUGGAUCCGCGCUGCAUUAGCUAGUUGGUAAGGUAACGGCUUACCAAGGCAACGAUGCAUAGCCGACCUGAGAGGGUGAUCGGCCACACUGGAACUGAGACACGGUCCAGACUCCUACGGGAGGCAGCAGUAGGGAAUCUUCCGCAAUGGGCGAAAGCCUGACGGAGCAACGCCGCGUGAGUGAUGAAGGUCUUCGGAUCGUAAAACUCUGUUAUUAGGGAAGAACAUAUGUGUAAGUAACUGUGCACAUCUUGACGGUACCUAAUCAGAAAGCCACGGCUAACUACGUGCCAGCAGCCGCGGUAAUGCGUAGGUGGCAAGCGUUAUCCGGAUUUAUUGGGCGUAAAGCGCGCGUAGGCGGUUUUUUAAGUCUGAUGUGAAAGCCCACGGCUCACCCGUGGAGGGUCAUUGGAAACUGGAAAACUUGAGUGCAGAAGAGGAAAGUGGAAUUCCAUGUGUAGCGGUGAAAUGCGCAGAGAUAUGGAGGAACACCAGUGGCGAAGGCGACUUUCUGGUCUGUAACUGACGCUGAUGUGCGAAAGCGUGGGGAUCAAACAGGAUUAGAUACCCUGGUAGUCCACGCCGUAAACGAUGAGUGCUAAGUGUUAGGGGGUUUCCGCCCCUUAGUGCUGCAGCUAACGCAUUAAGCACUCCGCCUGGGGAGUACGACCGCAAGGUUGAAACUCAAAGGAAUUGACGGGGACCCGCACAAGCGGUGGAGCAUGUGGUUUAAUUCGAAGCAACGCGAAGAACCUUACCAAAUCUUGACAUCCUUUGACAACUCUAGAGAUAGAGCCUUCCCCUUCGGGGGACAAAGUGACAGGUGGUGCAUGGUUGUCGUCAGCUCGUGUCGUGAGAUGUUGGGUUAAGUCCCGCAACGAGCGCAACCCUUAAGCUUAGUUGCCAUCAUUAAGUUGGGCACUCUAAGUUGACUGCCGGUGACAAACCGGAGGAAGGUGGGGAUGACGUCAAAUCAUCAUGCCCCUUAUGAUUUGGGCUACACACGUGCUACAAUGGACAAUACAAAGGGCAGCGAAACCGCGAGGUCAAGCAAAUCCCAUAAAGUUGUUCUCAGUUCGGAUUGUAGUCUGCAACUCGACUACAUGAAGCUGGAAUCGCUAGUAAUCGUAGAUCAGCAUGCUACGGUGAAUACGUUCCCGGGUCU